rnacentral:lncRNA from 1 species
CAGGUGUGAGGCACCACACCCAGACACUUUGCAAAUAUCUUUAUUAUUCAUUAUAUAUAAUAGAUUGUUCUAUAGUACAGAUAGUUAAAAUGGCUUAAGUAACAAAAAUUAAUUUUUGAUUAAAAUAUUAGGAAGUAUAAAGUAGAUCAGUCAAAAAGAUAUGAACAUAACUGAAUAAUUCAGCCAGCCAAAUAGCACACACUGGACAAAAUUGUCUAUUCAAGGGUAAAAGCUGGACUGACAGUAAAGAAGAGUUCACAAAGCAAAAACUGUUGCUCAGAAAGAGUUAAUCAUUCUCUGAAAAAUACAAAUCUAGUCAUAAUUUCUAUGCAGAAAAAGAAUUGCACCCUUACAGAUAAACAAUACAGAUAGGUUUCUGCUUUCUUGUUUUCUAUCAAUCUAUCUGUAAUUGUGUGGCAUUGAGAAUAUGCAAAAGUAAUUGCUAGAAGAUGCAGAAUAGUUCAGAGCACAGACUCUGGUGUCAGUAAAACUUUCCAACAGUAUAAUUUACUAGCAAUGUCACUGUGGGCAUGUCACUUAAUGUUUAAACUUAAUGUUUUCUGUUCUGUAGUAGUGUAGCAGCGUCACUGUGGGUAUGUCACUUUAUGUUUAAACUUAAUGUUUUCUGUUCUGUAGUCAGGUAAUAGUAAUAGCUCUUAUUUCAUAGGAUUAUUUUCAGGAUUGAAAUGAAAAAGCCAAAAUUGACAAAUGGGAUCGAAUUAAACUAAAG